rnacentral:rRNA from 1 species
CCUACGGGAGGCAGCAGUGGGGAAUAUUGCACAAUGGGGGGAACCCUGAUGCAGCGACGCCGCGUGGGUGAAGAAGCGUUUCGGCGUGUAAAGCCCUUUUGGCAGGGAAGAAGAUGACGGUACCUGACCAAGAAGCACCGGCUAACUACGUGCCAGCAGCCGCUGUAAUACGUAGGGGGCAAGCGGUACCCGGAUUUACUGGGGGUAAAGGGGGCGUUGAUGGCAAUGCAAGCUAGGUGUGAAAGCCCGGGGCCUAACCCCGGGACUGCCGUUGAAACUGCAUGGCUGGAGUGCGGGAGGGGAAGGCGGAAUUCCGGGUGUAGCGGUGAAAUGCGUAGAUAUUAGGAGGAACACCGAUGGCGAAGGCGGCCUGCUGGCGUGUGACUGACGUUGAGGCCCGAAGGCGUGGGGAGCAAACAGGAUUAGAUACCCCGGUAGUC